GCCGAGGUAGCUCAAUGGUAGAGCACGCGCCUGAAGAGCGUGGUGUUGACAGUCCGAUUCUGUCCCUCGGCA
rnacentral:tRNA from 1 species